rfam:Moniliophthora roreri strain MCA 2952 kmer90.96848, whole genome shotgun sequence.
ACACCGUUGGUGAAGUGGUUAUCAUGCUUGCCUUCCAUUACUCAGUAAGCAAGCGGCUCGGGUUCGAUUCCCGAACGGUGUA